rnacentral:rRNA from 1 species
UAGGGAAUCUUCCACAAUGGACGCAAGUCUGAUGGAGCAACGCCGCGUGAGUGAAGAAGGUUUUCGGAUCGUAAAGCUCUGUUGUUGGUGAAGAAGGAUAGAGGUAGUAACUGGCCUUUAUUUGACGGUAAUCAACCAGAAAGUCACGGCUAACUACGUGCCAGCAGCCGCGGUAAUACGUAGGUGGCAAGCGUUGUCCGGAUUUAUUGGGCGUAAAGCGAGCGCAGGCGGAAGAAUAAGUCUGAUGUGAAAGCCCUCGGCUUAACCGAGGAACUGCUUCGGAAACUGUUUUUCUUGAGUGCAGAAGAGGAGAGUGGAAUUCCAUGUGUAGCGGUGGAAUGCGUAGAUAUAUGGAAGAACGCCAGUGGCGAAGGCGACUCUCUGGUCUGCAACUGACGCUGAGGCUCGAAAGCAUGGGUAGCGAACAGG